GACGAACCGUGCGAACGUUAUUCGGAAUCACUGGGCUUAAAGCGCGUGUAGGCGGGCCGCCACGUCAGUCGCUGAAAUCCCCCGGCUCAACCGGGGGAAGUGGCACUGAUACGAGCGGCCUGGAGGGAGGUAGGGGGGGCUGGAACUUCCGGUGGAGCGGUGAAAUGCGUUGAGAUCGGAAGGAACGCCCGUGGCGAAAGCGAGCCCCUGGACCUUUUCUGACGCUGAGACGCGAAAUGCUAGGGGAGCGAACGGG
rnacentral:rRNA from 1 species